rnacentral:tRNA from 1 species
GCGGAUAUAACUCAAUGGUAGAGUCUCGGCCUUCCAAGCCGUUGGUUGCCGGUUCGAGUCCGACUAUCCGCUCCA